AGCACAGCUGGAUGGUUCUCAUCUUUUCUUUUAUUUGAAGAACAUAAUAGGAUUGGUUCUGAUCAAGCCAUUUACUGGUCCUCCACCCUACUAGAUGAAUUGUUCAACUUGGUUGCCUUCAUCAAUUUGAGGAAUCUGGUCAUAGUCUUUGCCCUUUUUUCUUUCAAGGAUUAUCAUCUUCUUCAUUGCAAAAUCGGAGUUGACAUGUGUGGGCAGAUUUGUUGCUCUUCCUUUUAAACAAAUGGAUCAUGAUAUUUCAAAGUCAACCAUGAGAGAUUGUCAAUGAAUGCUGGAAGCUGUAGGAUUAUCUGUUGCGGUAGCUGAUUCCAAGACAAAUCUAUUGAUUGGUUCUGCUAAGCAAGUGCUGCUGUCCCCAAAGCAACCAACUGCUCCACUUACAGAAUAGAUAAAGAUUACAUGAAUAGCUUUAUGGUAGCUGUGGCUUCAUUUCCUUCACGAAAUCUUUUCCAACUUGUCCUUCAAUUCACCUUUUUUUUGAACCGAAGGAGAAGUUUUAGAUUAUUUUGGUGGAGUUGAAUCAUGCCAAGGUGAAGAAAGCUACCCAGCUUUGAGAGGUAAGAAAUGAAGAACAUGUUUUUGCACAUUCUGUGCACUGUUGAAUGCCGAGAAGUAUACACAGUGAUGUAUUGCUAUCAAGAAAAUAAAAAAAAUUCUGUCA